rnacentral:lncRNA from 1 species
AUCAUCUUCUUCCUCCCAUCCGUCGAAGCCCCCGACUCAAGUAGCCGCUGCUGUACCGCUACCAAUCACGGCCUAAGGCGUGGCCCCUCCAGUGCUCAUUCCUCCUCCAUCCCUUUUGCUUGGAGGACGUUUUCUGAGUCUAAGCCAGCCACUGCACCCCCUGGUCCACCUUCGAUACCACAUACCAGCUUCGACGAGUGGAAGGAGCUGCAAUGG